AGUCAAGAGUCCUUGGCACCGUUUUUGGUGAGCUGCUUUCUUUUGCCUUAUCGAAGGUGAAGGAAAUG
rfam:Sinorhizobium meliloti 1021 plasmid pSymA, complete sequence.